rnacentral:rRNA from 1 species
CAACCGCCACGGUAACACGUAGGGUGCGAGCGUUGUCCGGAAUUACUGGGCGUAAAGAGCUCGUAGGCGGUUUGUCGCGUCGUCUGUGAAAUUCUGCAGCUUAACUGUAGGCGUGCAGGCGAUACGGGCAGACUUGAGUACUACAGGGGAGACUGGAAUUCCUGGUGUAGCGGUGAAAUGCGCAGAUAUCAGGAGGAACACCGGUGGCGAAGGCGGUUCUCUGGGAAUGUUCUGACGCUGAGGAGCGAAAGUGUGGGGAGCGAACAGGAUUAGAUACCCGUGUAGUCCCUGUCUCUUAUAA